rnacentral:rRNA from 1 species
UACAGAGGGUGCGAGCGUUAAUCGGAAUUACUGGGCGUAAAGCGCACGUAGGCGGCUUGGUAUGUCGGGUGUGAAAUCCCCGGGCUUAACCGUGGGAACUGCAUUUGUGACUGCACGGCUAGAGUGUGUCAGAGGGGGGUAGAAUUCCACGUGUAGCAGUGAAAUGCGUAGAUAUGUGGAGGAAUACCGAUGGCGAAGGCAGCCCCCUGGGAUAACACUGACGCUCAUGCACGAAAGCGUGGGGAGCAAACAGG